rnacentral:rRNA from 1 species
GACGAACGCUGGCGGCGUGCUUAACACAUGCAAGUCGAACGGAAAGGCCCUGCUUUUGUGGGGUGCUCGAGUGGCGAACGGGUGAGUAACACGUGAGUAACCUGCCCUUGACUUUGGGAUAACUUCAGGAAACUGGGGCUAAUACCGGAUAGGAGCUCCUGCUGCAUGGUGGGGGUUGGAAAGCUUCGGCGGUUGGGGAUGGACUCGCGGCUUAUCAGCUUGUUGGUGGGGUAGUGGCUUACCAAGGCUUUGACGGGUAGCCGGCCUGGGAGGGUGACCGGCCACAUUGGGACUGAGAUACGGCCCAGACUCCUACGGGAGGCAGCAGUGGGGAAUAUUGCACAAUGGGCGGAAGCCUGAUGCAGCAACGCCGCGUGCGGGAUGACGGCCUUCGGGUUGUAAACCGCUUUCGCCUGUGACGAAGCGUGAGUGACGGUAAUGGGUAAAGAAGCACCGGCUAACUACGUG